AGCCCACCACAGAAUCUAGAGAAGUUUAAUUUGAUUAGAACUACAAAUCUUUUCAGAUCCAAUGAUGUAUCUGACAGUCAGUGUAGUGACUGGAGAUUGGGGGAAUAGUAAUUUACUACUGGCAGAUGUGAGCAGCAGCUUUUGACCACUUGCACAUCCACCUCUGCCACUCUGUACUGUUGGAGCUCCACCCACUAGCCAGCACAGAUACUGAGAAUAAUACAGGAAACACUUAAUCACUGAAGUCCAAGACACUUUACGCCUAAGAAAAAGCCAUGAUGUGUAAAUAAAAUA